UUGCAUAUCAAAAAGCGGAGGAAAAGAAACUAACAAGGAUUCCCCUAGUAACUGCGAGUGAAGCGGGAAAAGCUCAAAUUUAAAAUCUGGCGGUCUCUGGCCGUCCGAGUUGUAAUCUAGAGAAGUAAUGCCCGUGCUGGACCGUGUAUAAGUCUCCUGGGAUGGGGCGUCAUAGAGGGUGAGAAUCCCGUCUUUGACACGGACUACCAGUGCAUUGUGGUAUGCUCUCAAAGAGUCGAGUUGUUUGGGAAUGCAGCUCAAAAUGGGUGGUAAAUUCCAUCUAAAGCUAAAUAUUGGCGAGAGACCGAUAGCGAACAAGUACCGUGAGGGAAAGAUGAAAAGAACUUUGGAAAGAGAGUUAAACAGUACGUGAAAUUGCUGAAAGGGAAACGCUUGAAGUCAGUCGCGUUGGCCGGGGAUCAGCCUUGCUUUUGCAUGGUGUACUUUCUGGUUGACGGGUCAGCAUCAAUUUUGACCGCUGGAAAAAGACCUGGGGAAUGUGGCAGCUUCGGCUGUGUUAUAGCCCCUAGUCGCAUACAGUGGUUGGGAUUGAGGAACUCAGCACGCCGCAAGGCCGGGUUUCGACCACGUUCGUGCUUAGGAUGCUGGCAUAAUGGCUUUAAGCGACCCGUCUUGAAACACGGACCA
rnacentral:rRNA from 1 species